rnacentral:tRNA from 1 species
GGGCGAAUAGCUCAGCUGGGAGAGCACCUGCCUUACUAGCAGGGGGUCACAGGUUCGAGCCCUGUUUCGCCCACCA